AUGCCCGUAUUUGUUAAAGCACCAAAGCGCUUUGAAUGUUCCAAAGAAAUUACUCCUGGCCCAGCAACAUACGAGCUCAGUCCCUUUUUAAGACAUUCUGUUCUGAAGAGAACAUACAAUGUAACUCUACCAAAUUCCAUCUUGAUUAAGAGAGAAAACACUCCUACCAUAGAACAGAAAUUCAAACAAAAACGCCCGGGAGGCAAAAUAGAAUCUUCUAAAUGAUAUAUUCCAAAGGUAUUAUCUAUUAAUAUAAAGGUAAGCUGACAGUUCUCUCAUGAAGAAGCACUUCCAUUUUGAUGAUGUCCUCCAUCAGCUGCUCAAAGAAACAUAAUUGCUCUUCUAACAUCUAGAGAUAGAAAAAUCUGUUUGUACAAGAUGUUUAAUCCUCCUUUUCCCUGAAAAAAGCAGUAUGUAUAUUCAUUUCAUUUUUUCUAAACAUAUACUACUGAUGCUUCCAUAUAAAAUAUAAUACUGAAUAAAGACAUCUGAUGAAAAGCCUUUUUUUUUUUUACUGUAGAGUCUCAUUCUCUAACCAGAGAAUACAAUUAUUUUCCAAAUACUAGGUAUGCUGAAACAAAGUAAAUGAUGUUAUUAUGUGUAUGUGUAUCUACUUGACUCAUUUUCUUACCCUUCAUUUCUCUGAAAUGUUAAAAGUAGAGACUAAAAAUCAUAAAAGGAAUAUUCAGUAUGUUUUACUUUGUAUGAAUUUAUGUGCAAAUAGAAGAGCAAGGAAAAAGUGACUAAAUUAUGGCAAUAUGCUGAGUUCUUUUCAAUAGCCUACAUAUUGGAGGAAGAGGAAUAAACUUAAAUAUUAAAUUCUAAAACUUUUGUGGUUAAUUCUCUACUUCUAACAUGGUCUUGAAAAACAAAUCAGUCAAAGAUAAGGAUUUAUAUCAUGGUUCCUAAUGUUUGGGGAGGAGCAUAGCCCCUUUGGAAUUUUGAUAAAAGCUAUGGAAACUUCAUUGAUAAAAGUAGAUUUAUGUAAAUAAUGUAAAUUUAACAUAAUUUCAAAGGACUCAAGUACUCCGGAAAUGUUUCAAUGUAUUUUGAUUUAAGAUAACUUAAUUGAAAAUAUCUCCAUUAACGUACCUAACUUUCCUCAAAUCUGGAACAAUAAAACCCAGAAUAAAUGGUCAAAAACUAUUUGCUCUCCCAUUGGAUUGGAUGAAUUGAAUUGAAUACCCAAAACAUCACAGAAGAGGUAGUUGAUAGAGCAGAGACUUUGAACUCAUGGCCUAGGUAUAGAACCCUCAGUAAAUUACUUCAUCACCUUGUUCUUUGUUAUGUGGCUAUAAGAUGAAGCGGUUGGUGUGCUAGAUCAGUAGUUCUCAAACAAAAUCAUCAAAUGAGUUGAUAAAAUAAUGCAACUUUCCAAUAUCCAACAACUGCCUACUUGGUAUGGUCUGUACUCUUGGGUGGUGUUCUGGAACCCAAAUUUUCCUCUAGGCAUUUAUAUGAUUUAGUUAUAUCCUCAAGAUUUAUAAUAUUUCUUUCAGAAGUUCCCUUUAUAUAUAUCAUAUAAACCAUAUAAAAUAUAGUUCUGGUUGCAGAAAAUUCAGACAACCGAAAGUAUUUGAAGUUGAUUAGAUAUGCUGCAACACCCUUGCAUGUAUUCUUUAAAAAACAACUUUAUAGAAUGAUUUUAUUGUUUUCCACAUAAUGCUAUUCCUGUGUAUUGUAUAAUAUAUAAAUCUGUUCAUGAAAGAAUAGAAAAAUGAAAAUGCAGAAUGUAGGAGAGAGUUGCCAAUCAAUUCUUAAGACAAUAUUUUAAUUAUUCAACAGAAUAAUUUUUAUGUCUAUAAUCUUAAGUUAUUUCAAAAUUUUUUAGACCAGAGCUAGUUGGAAAAACAUGUACAUAAAGUUUCAUAUUACUAUCAUAAGAAAACAAUACAAACCUCUUGUCACUUAAAAACAAAUAAACAAAGUUGAGAAUAUAAUAUGUGAACAUUGCAUAUGAAGCAUAAUUAUUUUGAUAUUUUUUGGAGCAGAAAUACUCUGUCUUCAAAAUAAUAGCCUUUCUACAAUAUUAAAAAAAUAACUUAGAGAGAACUAUAAAAGGGAUAAGCAGAAAAAUAUAAAACAGUAAAAUAGAAGAGGCUAUAUAUAUACAUACAUAUAUAUCUUUAGAAAAAUGAAUAAAAUAUAUAAAUAUAUAAACAAAAUCAAACAAUAUGGGAAACUGAAGAAAUUCUAUGUUAUAAACAUUUUGAAUAAAAUGGGUCUUAGAAAAUUCAUCUUCCUAUGAAGCAAACUUACUACAAGAAGCAAGAAAUUGUUAGAACAUAUAUGCUUAGAAUCUUUGCAAGUUUCAGAAAGAUAUUUCCUCUAUGCGAGAAGAGCAAACAAUUUUGAAGAUGAAACAAGUUGAGACAAAGAAAACUCAAGACAGCCAAACUAAAAGUUAAAAAAAAAAAACAAACCCAGAUAGUCAAACUAAAUGCCAUGUUAUUGAUAAUAAGGACAUUUAACAAUUCAUAAAAUUAAAUUGAUGGUGUAAAAGUUCAGUUUCAGUAACACAAAAUUCACAGAAAAACAGUAAGUAAUAAAAAUAAGGAUUAAGUUAGGUUGCUCAGGGGACCCCACGUAUACACCAAUCGCAUUCCUAACCAUGUCUGUGUAUAUCAGUCCAUGGCAAUUAAUUCUAGGGAAAUGAGAAGAUUCCCCAUUUUUCAAAAGUUUAGAACCAGAGAUUUCAGGGAGACAAUGAUUUAACCGUACUCUGAGAAUGUAUUAUGCAGGACUCAGCAAGUGCUUCAAAUUAGAAAGGUUGAUGGCUAAUUUCUACAACUUUGACAAAAAAAAUGUGUAAAAAUACUAAACAGUUGCCUUUUUUAGCUCCAGUAUUAAUACAACUAAAAUAAUGUUGCACUGAUCCAUCAAUAUUUUUCAUGCCCAGCUUUUGUGAUUAUGUACAAAUACUCAUUUUUUUCAUUUAUACCCAUAAUAAAAUGACCCAUUAAGCUACUUCCUGUGCAAGUAGUGCAUGACUGAAGGUUUUGUAUUGUUUUCAAAAGGAAGAUGACUGUGGUUUGGUUGUGUGACUAUGAAAAGUUUUGGUGUCUCCUCGUGGUGCAAACUUGCUGCUGUUAGCCAAGCCGGUUUCUCUUUUCACCUAACAGUUAUCUGAAGAAAUAUGAUUCAGUUAUGGCCAAUGAAGCAUGAGUAGAAAUGACAUAUAACACUUCCAGCUUUAGCCCAUGAAUAACCUCCCUGUGAAUGGUCCAUUCCAUUUUCAUCCUGUACAACUGGAUACAAAGGAAUUCAAUGGAGAACACUAAUGAAGCACUGAGAAAUCAGGUGAUGGAAAGAGGCUGGAUCUUGAAUGACCACUUAGAUCACCCACACAGCACUUGACAAGAAUCAAAAGUAUACUUGUUAAGCCACUAAGGUUCAGAAUCUAUUGGUCAUAGCUUUACCUUAACUAAUGCAUUUUAGAUACUUCCAUACUUAAUAACAGAAUAGGUCUCUCCACAGGUAAGAUGUUCAAGCUUAGUUGGUGGCAUUUGCUUUAAGGAAUCAGACGUUGUAAACAAAGGCAUGAUAUUCUAGUAAAGUAGAAACCAAAUUAGUCAUCAGGUUAGAGCCUUCUGUCUCAGAACCAAGUGUUGGGUUGAAAGAUAAUUCGUUUGCAGUGCAUUACAUAGGUUGCAACACCCUUGCGUAUAUUCACCAGAAAAAUAAUUUGGCAUCUAAAGAGUGUAGGUCAUAUGUCUUCUGUAAUUUUCAUGGUUGAAACUAGCUGAAUGUAUCUUCUUUCAGCUUCAACAGGCAGUUAACUAAAAACCAGUUUGUAAGCAUCUAAAAAGAUGUCCAAACUCUCUCAUUAUAAAAGAAGUGCAAUUUAAAACAACUUGAGAUAGGACUUUUCACCUUUCAGAAUAUAAAAAGAAAACAAAAGCAUAAUACAUACUCAGUAGACUAGACUCUAAGAAAGAGUCAAUCUCAUAUAAUGCUGGUAGAAGUGCACAUAUCUAUGACCCUUAGGAAGGUCAGUGGGCAAUGUCUACCAAAAAAUACAAACGCAAAUAACCUUUGACCAAAUAAUUCUAAUUAGUGGAAUUUAUCCUACAAAUACACUUAGAGAUGUAUAAAAUGACAUAUGAACAAGAGUUGUUUGUAAGAAUAAAAAAGUGUAAAUUGCAUUAAUGCAGUUUAUAAAAGUAAAAUAUAGAGUAUGUUUCAAUUGAGAGCUAGUUAAAUAAAUUGUCAUACAUAUCCAUACAGAGCAGCUAUUAAAAAAUGUGAAAUCGCACUAGGUAUCACAUAUAGAAAAUCUUUCAAGAUACAUUAAGUUAAAAAAAGUUUAGAAGAACAUAUAUAGUAUGGUAUCUUUUGUGUAAAAUGGAGGAGGAGGAUCUAUAUUCAUAUUUGCUUGAACAUACAUAAAGAAACUGGAAAAUUUUUAUAAGACACUAGGAACAGUGGGUCCCUAUGUGGGAGGACACAUCUGAGAACUGGGAAGACAAGAAAUGAGGGAGACUUGUAUAACUGUUCAUACCUUUUGGUUUUUGAAUCAUGUAGAUCAAUUCAAAACAUGCAAUUUAGUAAAAAGAUCAAAAUAAAAAGAUGAAAUUUAACUUGUUAACCAAAUUGUUCAUUUUAUGGAGUUUUGCUGGUUUCCAAGGGCCCUUCAGUUUAAAUAACUGGGUAGAUUGGUUACUCUCAUGUGUGAAUUCUGUCAGCCCCCUUAGAAAUGAAGCCAUAGGUUAGAAAACUUUCUGGGCUGAGGGCUUUAAAUUAAGUUCACAUUUAUUUUUUGUUUGGAGUAGACCUUUAUUUUCUACUACAUUUUCUAUCAUAUUUAUUUAUAAAUUAU
ensembl:lincRNA